rnacentral:rRNA from 1 species
UACGUAGGGGGCAAGCGUUGUCCGGAAUCAUUGGGCGUAAAGCGCGUGUAGGCGGCUCGAUAAGUCCGUUCUGAAAGUCCAGGGCUCAACCCUGGGAUGCGGAUGGAUACUGUCGAGCUCGAGUCCGGAAGAGGCGAGUGGAAUUCCUGGUGUAGCGGUGAAAUGCGUAGAUAUCAGGAGGAAUACCGGUGGCGAAAGCGACUCUCUGGACGGCAACUGACGCUGAGGCACGAAAGCGUGGGGAGCAAACAGG